GACGUAGGGCGCGAGCGUUGUCCGGAUUUAUUGGGCGUAAAGAGCGUGUAGGCGGCUUUGCAAGUCCGCUGUGAAAGUCAAGGGCUCAACCCUUGGAUGCCGGUGGAUACUGCAGGGCUAGAGUCCGGAAGAGGCGAGUGGAAUUCCUGGUGUAGCGGUGAAAUGCGCAGAUAUCAGGAGGAACACCGAUGGCGAAGGCAGCUCGCUGGGACGGUGCUGACGCUGAGGCGCGAAAGCGUGGGGAGCAAACAGG
rnacentral:rRNA from 1 species